ACGAACGCUGGCGGCGUGCUUAACACAUGCAAGUCGCACGGAAAGGCCCUGCUUUUGUAGGGUGCUCGAGUGGCGAACGGGUGAGUAACACGUGAGUAACCUGCCCUUGACUUUGGGAUAACUUCAGGAAACUGGGGCUAAUACCGGAUAGGAGCUCCUGCUGCAUGGUGGGGGUUGGAAAGUUUCGGCGGUUGGGGAUGGACUCGCGGCUUAUCAGCUUGUUGGUGGGGUAGUGGCUUACCAAGGCUUUGACGGGUAGCCGGCCUGAGAGGGUGACCGGCCACAUUGGGACUGAGAUACGGCCCAGACUCCUACGGGAGGCAGCAGUGGGGAAUAUUGCACAAUGGGCGGAAGCCUGAUGCAGCAACGCCGCGUGCGGGAUGACGGCCUUCGGGUUGUAAACCGCUUUCGCCUGUGACGAAGCGUGAGUGACGGUAAUGGGUAAAGAAGCACCGGCUAACUACGUG
rnacentral:rRNA from 1 species